GUGGCUGAAAAGGGUUCAUAUGGCUUAAGC
rnacentral:piRNA from 1 species